CACGUUUUAGGUCCCAAAAUCUGAGGAGAAGCUUAUAUUGCAAUCAACAACUUUGAGGCACAGACCUUCAGUCAACUUGCAUAUGAUAUAGAAAGUUAGAAAGAAGAUCAAAGAUGGAAGGGUUCUUAAGAGAAUGACAAAAACUGGUGAAUCCUGCACGCACCUGAAGAAGGGAGUGGAAUGUAAAGCCUUUUAGCAAGUCUCCUUCUUGCAGCUUCAUCAAGUUCUUGGGGUCUGUUUGUUGCUCCUGUUUAAGUAACAGAAUCACCUCUGUUACUUCUCAUAAAACAAGGAAACAAGACACAAUAUUGCCCUCGAAGAAGAAAAGCAAUUGCACUUUUACACAAGCCUGAAGUCCGCCGACUACCAUGAAAUCAAGCAAUCAUGUGUAGCUUCAAUUACAAUGGUUGCAGAGUUGAAAAAGGUAACAUAUGUCAAUAGUCUACAUACUUGAAUAUGCAUAUUUUACCAUCUGUUUGCUUCUUAGUGGUGGUUUGCGCUACCUAAAAUCUUGUUUUGGGAGUUAAACAUUACCUACAAGCAGAAUUUGUUCACUUCCAGUAUCAAAGCCUUCCAUUUCAAUCAGGAAUUGCGUCUUGAGUCUCCUACUUGAUUCAUGUUCACCUUCAGACUUACGCUGAAAAGAUAUACAAGUUCUUAGCAGAGAGAAUACUAGAGUUGAAAGAGA